rnacentral:rRNA from 1 species
CAUAGAGAUAUGGAAGUGCUCGAAAGAGAACCUGGGCACAGGUGCUGCAUGGCCGUCGUCAGCUCGUGUCGUGAGAUGUUGGGUUAAGUCCCGCAACGAGCGCAACCCUUGUCAUUAGUUGCUACGAAAGGGCACUCUAAUGAGACUGCCGGUGACAAACCGGAGGAAGGUGGGGAUGACGUCAGGUCCUCAUGGCCCUUAUGGGUAGGGCUACACACGUCAUACAAUGGCCGGUACAGAGGGCUGCCAACCCGCGAGGGGGAGCUAAUCCCAGAAAACCGGUCGUAGUCCGGAUUGCAGUCUGCAACUCGACUGCAUGAAGUCGGAAUCGCUAGUAAUCGCGGAUCAGCUUGCCGCGGUGAAUACGUUCCCGGGUCUUGUACACACCGCCCGUCACACCAUGGGAGCGGGUUCUGCCAGAAGUAGUUAGCCUAACCGCAAGGAGGGCGAUUACCACGGCAGGGUUCGUGACUGGGGUGAAGUCGUAACAAGGUAACCGU